rnacentral:misc_RNA from 1 species
GUAGGUGAACCUGCGGAAGGAUCAUUAUUGAAAUCGUAGUCUUCGGACUCACCUUCUCUAAUCCUUCACACCUGUGCACCUUUAUGAAUCCGCGAGUGUUAUUAGGCCCAUGUUUGGGUCGAACGCCUUUAGGAUUCAUUCUAUCAAACCAACACUGUUUAUAAGAAUGUUAUCUGUCUCGUUGUAAUGACGAGUACAACCCCUAUAAAACUUUCAACAACGGAUCUCUUGGCUCAG